ACGCACGCUGGCGGCGUGCCUAACACAUGCAAGUCGAACGGAACUGUUUUGAAAGAUUUCUUCGGAAUGAAUUUGAUUUAGUUUAGUGGCGGACGGGUGAGUAACGCGUGAGUAACCUGCCUUCAAGAGGGGAAUAACAUUCUGAAAAGAAUGCUAAUACCGCAUGACAUAUCGGAACCACAUGGUUUUGAUAUCAAAGAUUUUAUCGCUUGAAGAUGGACUCGCGUCCGAUUAGUUAGUUGGUGAGGUAACGGCUCACCAAGACCGCGAUCGGUAGCCGGACUGAGAGGUUGAACGGCCACAUUGGGACUGAGACACGGCCCAGACUCCUACGGGAGGCAGCAGUGGGGGAUAUUGCGCAAUGGGGGCAACCCUGACGCAGCAACGCCGCGUGAAGGAUGAAGGUUUUCGGAUUGUAAACUUCUUUUAUUAAGGACGAAAAAUGACGGUACUUAAUGAAUAAGCUCCGGCUAACUACGUG
rnacentral:rRNA from 1 species